rnacentral:rRNA from 1 species
UUAUAGUCAAUUAUCUUGUUUGUAAUCCUUUAUGUGACAUACCUAUAACUGUUGCUUCGGCGGGUAGGGUCUCCGCGACCCUCCCGGCCUCCCGCCUCCGGGCGGGUCGGCGCCCGCCGGAGGAUAACCAAACUCUGAUUUAACGACGUUUCUUCUGAGUGGUACAAGCAAAUAAUCAAAACUUUUAACAACGGAUCUCUUGGUUCUGGCAUCGAUGAAGAACGCAGCGAAAUGCGAUAAGUAAUGUGAAUUGCAGAAUUCAGUGAAUCAUCGAAUCUUUGAACGCACAUUGCGCCCGCCAGCAUUCUGGCGGGCAUGCCUGUUCGAGCGUCAUUUCAACCCUCAAGCUCUGCUUGGUGUUGGGGCCCUACAGCUGAUGUAGGCCCUCAAAGGUAGUGGCGGACCCUCCCGGAGCCUCCUUUGCGUAGUAACUUUACGUCUCGCACUGGGAUCCGGAGGGACUCUUGCCGUAAAACCCCCCAAUUUUCCAAAGGUUGACCUCGGAUCAGGUAGGAAUACCCGCUGAACUUAAGCAUAUCAAUAAGCGGAGGAAUUUUGGAGUUUUCGCUCUAUAACCUUUAUGAACAUACUAUAACUGUGGCUUGGGGGUAGGGUCUCCACCUCCGGCCUCCGCCUCCGGGCGGGUCGCGCCGCCGGAGAUAACAAACUCUGAUUUAAGAGUUUCUUCUGAGUGGUACAAGCAAAUAAUCAAAUUUUACAACGGAUCUCUUGGUUCUGGCAUCAUGAAACAGCAGAAAGCAUAAGCUAAUGUGAAUUGCAGAAAUUCAGUGAAUCAUCAAUCUUUAAACAUUGGGCACAUUCGGGGGAAGCCGUUGAAGAUAUAUACAUCCAAGUCUGUUGGUGUUGGGGGCUACGCUGAAGUGUAUGGCCUCAAGGCUAGUGACG